AUUGGACGCUGGCGGCAGGCCUAACACAUGCAAGUCGAGCGGAUGAAGGGAGCUUGCUCCUGGAUUCAGCGGCGGACGGGUGAGUAAUGCCUAGGAAUCUGCCUGGUAGUGGGGGAUAACGUCCGGAAACGGGCGCUAAUACCGCAUACGUCCUGAGGGAGAAAGUGGGGGAUCUUCGGACCUCACGCUAUCAGAUGAGCCUAGGUCGGAUUAGCUAGUUGGUGGGGUAAAGGCCUACCAAGGCGACGAUCCGUAACUGGUCUGAGAGGAUGAUCAGCCACACUGGAACUGAGACACGGUCCAGACUCCUACGGGAGGCAGCAGUGGGGAAUAUUGGACAAUGGGCGAAAGCCUGAUCCAGCCAUGCCGCGUGUGUGAAGAAGGUCUUCGGAUUGUAAAGCACUUUAAGUUGGGAGGAAGGGCAGUAAGUUAAUACCUUGCUGUUUUGACGUUACCAACAGAAUAAGCACCGGCUAACUUCGUG
rnacentral:rRNA from 1 species